GACGAACGCUGGCGGCGUGCUUAACACAUGCAAGUCGAACGGAAAGGCCCUGCUUUUGUGGGGUGCUCGAGUGGCGAACGGGUGAGUAACACGUGAGUAACCUGCCCCUGACUUUGGGAUAACUUCAGGAAACUGGGGCUAAUACCGGAUAUGAGCUCCUGCUGCAUGGUGGGGGUUGGAAAGGUUCGGCGGUUGGGGAUGGACUCGCGGCUUAUCAGCUUGUUGGUGGGGUAGUGGCUUACCAAGGCUUUGACGGGUAGCCGGCCUGAGAGGGUGACCGGCGACAUUGGGACUGAGAUACGGCCCAGACUCCUACGGGAGGCAGCAGUGGGGAAUAUUGCACAAUGGGCGGAAGCCUGAUGCAGCAACGCCGCGUGCGGGAUGACGGCCUUCGGGUUGUAAACCGCUUUCGCCUGUGACGAAGCGUGAGUGACGGUAAUGGGUAAAGAAGCACCGGCUAACUACGUG
rnacentral:rRNA from 1 species